rnacentral:rRNA from 1 species
UACGAAGGGUGCAAGCGUUGUUCGGAUUUAUUGGGCGUAAAGCGCGCGUAGGCGGACCUGCAAGCCAGAUGUGAAAUCUCGGGGCUCAACCUCGAAACUGCGUCUGAAACUACAGGUCUAGAAUCUUGGAGGGGGUAGGGGAAUUUCGCAUGUAGGGGUAAAAUCCGUAGAUAUGCGAAGGAACACCAGAGGCGAAGGCGCCUGCCUGGACAAGUAUUGACGCUGAGGCGCGAAAGCGUGGGGAUCAAACGGG